CACAUAUUGUUCCAUUCUGCAUAGCAUGUUUUCAGGGUUCAAAGAAGAUUAACAUAAUGGAAGCAAUGCACCUACUAGAACAUAUCAACAUCAUCUAGACAUGAAGUGAGAAUCUACCAGGCACCUUCUGGUUAUUUUUUCCUAUUAGCUUCAGCACUCGAUCAGUUUCUACUUUUUUGGAGAAGUUUCUUGCGAAGUAAUGAUCAGAAUGUCUAAGGAUUAGGCACACAUUCCAAUUUCUCUAAACUCUAAAGAUCUAUUACUAGCUUCAUCUAUUAGGAGAUGAAGAAACUAUAUAGAAAUCAACCAUAAAAGAAACAAACAUGAUAGGAACAUAAUUAAUCUCACAAGAUCAGGAGGACUAUCUCUCACCCUGCCAAAGGUUAUCUUGAGUAA